rnacentral:misc_RNA from 1 species
UAAUAAGUGUUUUAUGGCACUUUUUAAAUCCAUAUCCACCUUGUGUGCAAUGUCAGUCGAUCUUCUUCAUGGAGAUCGACCAAACAUCAACCUUUAUCUUUUAACUCUUUGUCUUAAGAAUAUUAUGAAUAAACAAUUCAAAAUA